rnacentral:rRNA from 1 species
AUUGAACGCUGGCGGCAGGCCUAACACAUGCAAGUCGAGCGAGCGGCGGACGGGUGAGUAAUGUAUGGGGACUGCCCGAUAGAGGGGGAUAACUACUGGAAACGGUGGCUAAUAACGCAUACUGUAGGAUAACCCAUAUGGGAUUAGCUAGUAGGUAAGGUAAUGGCUUACCUAGGCGACGAUCCCUAGCUGGUCUGAGAGGAUGAUCAGCCGCACUGGGACUGAGACACGGCCCAGACUCCUACGGAGGCAGCAGUGGGGAAUAUUGCACAAUGGGCGAAAGUCUGAUGCAGCCAUGCCGCGUGUAUGAAGAAGGCCCUAGGGUUGUAAAGUACUUUCAGUCGGGAGGCGUUACCGACAGAAGAAGCACCGGCUAACUCCGUGCCAGCAGCCGCGGUAAUAC